GGGGAAGCUCUGAUGAAAGCAUUGAAGCAAAAGCAUGCAUAAAAGGAAGCUUGUUUCUUGAGUCAUAGUUUUCAGGAAACAGUAGCAGAAGAGUUCUUCACAUAUAUAUACAAUAAGCGGUGAUAAACCGCUUUUCACUACAAAGAGAACAAUAUAAUCUAAAGAUGAUAGACUACAUUACACAGUACUUUUCACCAUAGAAGCAGCAGGGGAAGACUAAAGUUUAUAUAUAGCUUGCUCGGAGUUCUCCGAAAGGGGAAGAUAUUGGUCUCAUUGAUGCGAAACAAAAUGUGGCUGUUUUCGUAACAACCAAAGCAUGCAGGCCAGGAUACAUUGACCAAAGUCUACCAGAAACUAUUUCUGGUUGCUUCGAGGCGGUGCUCAAAAUUAUAGGAUGUCCGAUGUCGCUCGGAAAGAUAAACAUCUUUUUUAAUUAUCUCACAAAUAAAAAUAAGGAUGUUCUCUGAAUAAAUUAAUAUUGGUUUCUGUAAGAGAAAUUCAAUUAAAUGGUCAGCAUGAUACCCUUCCAGCGUAGACUUCGCUUGAUAAGCAAGCAGAAUAUAGAAGAUACCUUGACAAAGAAGAGAUAUUACAGUUAUUAGCAUACUGCACCAUACCAUUAAUCACAGUUGCAGAAUAAGUAGAACCAAAGAAACCUUAGUCGUACCGUAUGUACAUAUCUAGAUAACGGCAUGGAAGAAGUGCUCCAUGGAAGAACUACUGCCUCGCUUUCUUUGGUGCGCCAACUCCCUUGGCGGCAUUGCCUGUUCUAAAUUUGAUCAAUUAGCAAAAACAAUGACACGUUAACAACUUUGUUCCUGGUGAUAAAGGCUAGAUCUUCAGAAUGUUGUAUACACAGGAAGUGCAUAAAGAUUAGACACAAAAAUUGCAAGACAACAUAAACAAACAAAAGACUCAUUGAACCCUAGCACAUAGGAAACCAACUCCAUAGAUAAUCAAUUGGCAGGCGCAUGCAACAGGAAAGAAAUGGUAAUACACAUAAAAAUGCUGAAGGUACAUAUAUAUUUUACUGACCCUCUCAUGAAUCUAGAAAGAAAAGUCUGAUCAAACAGCAUUAGAUGCAUCAGUGAAGAGAGAAAACAUAGUCAACAUACAAAGGGAACAAUGUUUUUCAUUGUAAAGAAGGGAAGGCUUCGUAAAUUCCUAAAUGGGAGGGUAGUAUUACUGUUUAGGCAUCUAUUCUGCAAUUUAUUAGCGAGUAACUAAAUAGUAAAAGGCUGUGUUUUUUUUGUGAGUAAGUGAUUAAUCGGCAUAUAUCAGUGAGGUACAGAAUAGGAAUUGAGCCUGGUAACAAACCCGCACUCAGUAAAUUUGUAAUUGUUGUGACCAAGAAGCAAGCAAAAAAAUAGCUGAACCUUAGAACUUAUAUUAGAAAAAGUAGAGAUCAAAUGCAUAUACCAAAGCAGGAGCCGUUCCAUAAUCUAACACAACAAUCUAAUUUGUUCUAUAGGAGGGGUUUUCACCUUUUGGUCUUAGAGGGGUCAGGAAGCAUGUUCUUUGGAUCCUCGGCAGAUGCACUUUCAGUUUCCUCUCCAAC
rnacentral:lncRNA from 1 species